rnacentral:lncRNA from 1 species
CUUAACGUAAAUCCGCCUAAAGAAAUCUGAGAAUUCUUUCAUAGUUUGUGAGAGUUAUUUUCGAAGACAUACCUCAUUUUCAUCAUUAGUUAUCUCAGAUUCAAAUAUCGUCUCUUCUUCCGAGUCCUCCAUCUCUUCACACUCAAACGCUACAUUUUCUCCGCUGAGUAACUUAUCUCUUCCUGAUCUAUCACAAUUUCUGCGAGAGACUUGUCUUCCAAAUUAGGGGCAUGUACCAACUGCAAACAAGAGUAUUUCAAGCUGUAAUGGUUUUGUUGUUCCACAUUUAAUCGUCUUCUCCUAUGAGAUGACUCAUAGAACAAGAGUCUUGUUUGUAACUAAAUCUUCAGAGAUUUU